ACACGUAGGGGCCUGACGUUGUUCGGAAUCAUUGGGCGUAAAGGGCGCGCAGGCGGCCGUCCAAGUCCGGUGUUAAAUGGUCGGGCUCCACCCGAUCAUGCGCUGGAAACUGGGCGGCUGGAGUCCCGGAGGGGAUGCCGGAAUUCCAGGUGUAGGGGUGAAAUCUGUAGAUAUCUGGAAGAACACCGAUGGCGAAGGCAGGCAUCUGGCCGGAGACUGACGCUGAGGCGCGAAGGCGCGGGGAUCGAACAGGAUUAGAUACCCUGGUAGUCCGCACAGUAAACGAUGAAUACUUGUUUUCGGCGAUAUAAUGUCGGAGGCAAAGCGAAAGCGAUAAGUAUUCCACCUGGGGAGUACGCCGGCAACGGUGAAACUCAAAGGAAUUGACGGGG
rnacentral:rRNA from 1 species